GGCUGUGGUAUUUGGAGGUGGAGACGGGCUGUGGUAUUUGGAGGUAGAGAAGGGCUGUGGUAUUUGGAGGUGGAGAAGGGCUGUGGUAUUUGGAGGUGGAGAAGGGCUGUGGUAUUUGGAGGUGGAGAAGGGCUGUGGUAUUUGGAGGUGGUGACGGGCUGUGGUAUUUGGAGGUAGAGAAGGGCUGUGGUAUUUGGAGGUAGAGAAGGGCUGUGGUAUUUGGAGGUAGAGAAGGGCUGUGGUAUUUGGAGGUAGAGAAGGGCUGUGGUAUUUGGAGGUAGAGAAGGGCUGUGGUAUUUGGAGGUAGAGAAGGGCUGUGGUAUUUGGAGGUAGAGAAGGGUUGUGGUUUUUGGAGGUAGAGAAGGGCUGUGGUAUUUGGAGGUAGAGACGGACUGUGGUAUUUGGAGGUAGAGAAGGGCUGUGGUAUUUGGAGGUAGAGAAGGGCUGUGGUAUUUGGAGGUGGAGACGGGCUGUGGUAUUUGGAGGUAGAGAAGGGCUGUGGUAUUUGGAGGUGGAGAAGGGCUGUGGUAUUUGGAGGUAGAGAAGGGCUGUGGUAUUUGGAGGUAGAGAAGGGCUGUGGUAUUUGGAGGUAGAGAAGGGCUGUGGUAUUUGGAGGUAGAGAAGGGUUGUGGUAUUUGGAGGUGGAGACGGGUUGUGGUAUUUGGAGGUAGAGAAGGGCUGUGGUAUUUGGAGGUAGAGAAGGGCUGUGGUAUUUGGAGGUAGAGAAGGGCUGUGGUAUUUGGAGGUGGUGACGGGCUGUGGUAUUUGGAGGUAGAGAAGGGCUGUGGUAUUUGGAGGUGGAGAAGGGCUGUGGUAUUUGGAGGUGGAGACGGGCUGUGGUAUUUGGAGGUGGAGAAGGGCUGUGGUAUUUGGAGGUAGAGAAGGGCUGUGGUAUUUGGAGGUAGAGAAGGGCUGUGGUAUUUGGAGGUAGAGAAGGGCUGUGGUAUUUGGAGGUAGAGAAGGGCUGUGGUAUUUGGAGGUAGAGAAGGGCUGUGGUAUUUGGAGGUAGAGAAGGGCUGUGGUAUUUGGAGGUAGAGACGGGCUGUGGUAUUUGGAGGUAGAGACGGGCUGUGGUAUUUGGAGGUGGAGACGGGCUGUGGUAUUUGGAGGUGGAGAAGGGCUGUGGUAUUUGGAGGUAGAGAAGGGCUGUGGUAUUUGGAGGUAGAGACGGGCUGUGGUAUUUGGAGGUAGAGACGGGCUGUGGUAUUUGGAGGUAGAGAAGGGCUGUGGUAUUUGGAGGUAGAGAAGGGCUGUGGUAUUUGGAGGUAGAGAAGGGCUGUGGUAUUUGGAGGUAGAGAAGGGCUGUGGUAUUUGGAGGUAGAGACGGGCUGUGGUAUUUGGAGGUAGAGAAGGGCUGUGGUAUUUGGAGGUAGAGAAGGGCUGUGGUAUUUGGAGGUGGAGACGGGCUGUGGUAUUUGGAGGUAGAGAAGGGCUGUGGUAUUUGGAGGUGGAGAAGGGCUGUGGUAUUUGGAGGUGGAGACGGGCUGUGGUAUUUGGAGGUGGAGAAGGGCUGUGGUAUUUGGAGGUAGAGAAGGGCUGUGGUAUUUGGAGGUAGAGAAGGGCUGUGGUAUUUGGAGGUAGAGAAGGGCUGUGGUAUUUGGAGGUAGAGAAGGGCUGUGGUAUUUGGAGGUAGAGAAGGGCUGUGGUAUUUGGAGGUAGAGAAGGGCUGUGGUAUUUGGAGGUAGAGAAGGGCUGUGGUAUUUGGAGGUAGAGACGGGCUGUGGUAUUUGGAGGUAGAGACGGGCUGUGGUAUUUGGAGGUGGAGACGGGCUGUGGUAUUUGGAGGUAGAGAAGGGCUGUGGUAUUUGGAGGUGGAGACGGGCUGUGGUAUUUGGAGGUAGAGAAGGGCUGUGGUAUUUGGAGGUAGAGAAGGGCUGUGGUAUUUGGAGGUAGAGAAGGGCUGUGGUAUUUGGAGGUAGAGAAGGGCUGUGGUAUUUGGAGGUAGAGAAGGGCUGUGGUAUUUGGAGGUGGAGACGGGCUGUGGUAUUUGGAGGUAGAGAAGGGCUGUGGUAUUUGGAGGUAGAGAAGGGCUGUAGUAUUUGGAGGUGGAGAAGGGCUGUGGUAUUUGGAGGUGGAGAAGGGCUGUGGUAUUUGGAGGUGGAGAAGGGCUGUGGUAUUUGGAGGUGGAGAAGGGCUGUGGUGUGGUAGGUGAGAAGUCAACAAUGUGAUAGGAGGAAAGACAGAAGAGGAACUAUAGUUAUCACGCUGGUCUUCUAUGCUGCAGCAGCUGAUAUUUCCCAUCCAGGACAACAAUAGGUGUUUUGAUCUGUAGAAGGGCAGGGAGGGACACCGGCUGAAAUGAAACCUGGCUCUGCUAAGGGAAGGAGAGGGGAUACAAAGUACAUGACAUCAUUUAAUUAAAGGCAUGUUGUCCAGGACUAAAGUGUUUCUCCCAUCUAAAUCCUAUCAGGUCAAUAAACACUAAUACGCUAAACCAAUAGCACUGUCCUAUAAGCCAAUAAGACUUCCAUCCUACUGUAUCUGUCAACUUGUGGCAGUAUUACACAGUAGAGGUCUCUUCAUGGGUCCACCCGAACCAGAAUACCCAAAACCCGAACCGAGUCCAAAAUGCCAACAUGUCCCUAGG